GCAAUUUUGAAGCAAUAAAUUCUUUGCCAAGAGAUCUAGUGUAUUUGGAAGGUUAAAUAACCUUGAUGUGAUGACAAUCUGACCACAAUUCCUUUCAAGGAAAUGGCUUGAAAAUACAAAGUAUAUUUAAUCUUGUUAAGGGUGACCACAUGGAAAAAAAAUUAGCAUCCCAUGUAAUGAAGCUGUCAGUGAUGUCAUAUGGCGAAUGAAUACUGCGAAUCAAUACAAGUUGUUCUGCUUGUCAGCAUUCAGGAAACAAAUUGUUCUUGUACAAAGUAUGGGAUAACUUUCAAGAGCAAAAGGGAGGACAUCAUAUUUGAGUGCAGCACAAGUAGCUCUGAGACCACAAAGAACUCCAAAGCCUAA
rnacentral:lncRNA from 1 species